CACGGGGCGGCUGGUAUGUGUCCACCGGCCCCUAGGCGCCUCGAGCCCCGCCCCUGGGAGACGCAGGCUCCUCCCCGCGGAGCGAGAGCCCGCGGAGCUGCUCCGAGACCCGCGGGAGGGCACCUCCGGUCACCCGAGCCGCAAAUCCCCGCCGUCCGAAGGGGGUGUCGCCCCGGGCUGUCGGCCCAGCGUGGCUUAGGCCAGGUACAACCGGCAGCGCCCGCCAAGCCCUGGGCUAGGGACGCCUGCGGGAGUUCACGGGGAGGCGCCGGUGUCUGAGGUCUGAGAAGACAGCGGCCACCGGAAAAGGUGCUAAUGUUUGCAGACCCCGAUCCAUCGACACCCCAAGGAAAUGCUGUGCACAAAAUUCCAAGAGGGCCUUUUCGAAUAGACGCAUGAACGGUGUUUGUGUCUGGAUCGUCCAGCCUCCCGGGAUCGAUUGGGAAUCUAGCUUCUGCUUGCCUUUCCAGCGCGACGCACAGUAGGAGCCUAAUAAAUGUUUGCUGAAUGAAUGCUGAAUAUCGAACUCAGGCAGCCCCUGAGCCCCUCCUGUGAUGAGCAGCUGGCUCCCCGUCUCGGGUGGGUGAAGGCUCCUGCAGCAGGAGGCACCUUGUGGAAGCUCCUGUCCUGCAACCCCAUGGGGACUCCACUCACAGCCACUGGUCCCACUGUGACCCUCUCGCUGGAGCAAAGCAGGAAAGCCACUGGCAAAUGAUUUGC
rnacentral:lncRNA from 10 species